AUUGAACGCUGGCGGCAGGCCUAACACAUGCAAGUCGAGCGGAUGAAGGGAGCUUGCUCCUGGAUUCAGCGGCGGACGGGUGAGUAAUGCCUAGGAAUCUGCCUGGUAGUGGGGGAUAACGUCCGGAAACGGGCGCUAAUACCGCAUACGUCCUGAGGGAGAAAGUGGGGGAUCUUCGGACCUCACGCUAUCAGAUGAGCCUAGGUCGGAUUAGCUAGUUGGUGGGGUAAAGGCCUACCAAGGCGACGAUCCGUAACUGGUCUGAGAGGAUGAUCAGUCACACUGGAACUGAGACACGGUCCAGACCCCUACGGGAGGCAGCAGUGGGGGAUAUUGGACAAUGGGCGAAAGCCUGAUCCAGCCAUGCCGCGUGUGUGAAGAAGGUCUUCGGAUUGUAAAGCACUUUAAGUUGGGAGGAAGGGCAGUAAGUUAAUACCUUGCUGUUUUGACGUUACCAACAGAAUAAGCACCGGCUAACUUCGUG
rnacentral:rRNA from 1 species